UUUUAUGAGAGUUUGAUCCUGGCUCAGGACGAACGCUGGCGGCGUGCCUAAUACAUGCAAGUCGAACGCUUCUUUUUCCACCGGAGCUUGCUCCACCGGAAAAAGAGGAGUG
rnacentral:rRNA from 2 species